AGCGAAUAGAUACCUGGUAGUCCAUGCUGUAAACGAUGGAUGCUAGCUGUGAUGCGUAUCGACCCGCGUCGUAGCGAAGCUAACGCGUUAAGCAUCCCGCCUGUGGAGUACGGCCGCAAGGCUAAAACAUAAAGGAAUUGACGGGGACCCGCACAAGCGGUGGAGCGUGUUGUUUAAUUCGAUGGUAAGCGAAGAACCUUACCCAGGUUUGACAUCCUUGGAAGUUCUGCGAAAGCAGAGUGUGCCUUCGGGAACCAAGUGACAGGUGAUGCAUGGCCGUCUUCAGCUCGUGUCGUGAGACGUUAGGUUAAGUCCUUCAACGAGCGCAACCCUUAUAGUUAGUUGUAUUUUCUAGCUAGACUGCCCUGGUAACAGGGAGGAAGGAGGGGACGAUGUCAGGUCAGUAUCUCCCUUAUAUCUGGGGCUACAAACACGCUACAAUGGCCGGUAC
rnacentral:rRNA from 1 species